rnacentral:rRNA from 1 species
CCUACGGGAGGCAGCAGUGGGGAAUAUUGGACAAUGGGGGCAACCCUGAUCCAGCCAUGCCGCGUGUGUGAAGAAGGCCCUCGGGUUGUAAAGCACUUUCAGUGAGGAAGAACGCCUGGUGGUUAAUACCCAUCAGGAAAGACAUCACUCACAGAAGAAGCACCGGCUAACUCCGUGCCAGCAGCCGCGGUAAUACGGAGGGUGCGAGCGUUAAUCGGAAUUACUGGGCGUAAAGCGCGCGUAGGUGGCUUGAUAAGCCGGUUGUGAAAGCCCCGGGCUCAACCUGGGAACGGCAUCCGGAACUGUCAAGCUAGAGUGCAGGAGAGGAAGGUAGAAUCCCGGUGUAGCGGUGAAAUGCGUAGAGAUCGGGAGGAAUACCAGUGGCGAAGGCGGCCUUCUGGACUGACACUGACACUGAGGUGCGAAAGCGUGGGUAGCAAACAGGAUUAGAUACCCUUGUAGUC